UUUUGCUAUUGGGUUGUAUGUGUUCAUUAUAUAUUUCAGAUGUUAGUCCCUUAUCAGAUAUAUGAUUUUCUUUUUUUUAAGAUUUUAUUUCUUUAGCCAUGAGAGGCACAAAGAGAGAGGCAGAGACAUAGGUAGAGGGAGAAGCAGUCUCCCUGCAGGGAGCCCGAUGUGGGACUCAAUCCCCAGAUCUCCAGAUCAUGACCUGAGCCAAAGGCAGACGCUCAAACACUGAGUCACCCAGGUGUCCCAGAUAUAUGACUUUCAAAUACUCUCUCUUGUUCAGUAGGUUGCCUUUUCACUUUGUUGAUUGUUUCCUUUGUUGUAUAGAACUUUUUUCUAGAGUGAUGCAAUCCCAGAAUUUUCCUCUUAAAGCAACAAAGAAGCUACAAUUUUAUCAUUUCCUGUUUUCUCACUUCUGGGAAUCCCAGACAUCCUUCUAGAACUUCCUGUGCCAUCAAUACUGAACAUGUGACAUUCUAGGCAACUUCACUCCUGACAUCUUUUUAUGAGAACAAUGUUUUUGAAGAUUCUAAGCUCUGGAAGAAUAAGCGUGGAUUAUGACAAAAAUUUCUCAGGGUGCUGGCAGGUGGCCCAAUGCCACGCAUCUGGAAACCUACCCUGGACAUGUGGUGUUUCCUCCACUUACAGAGACCUGAGGGUGAGGAAAGAGAAAGUUUCCCAUUUCAAAGCUACAGAUCUUCCUUCUUUGAUACCCAAGCCUGAGUCCCAGAUCUCAUUGUCCUUUCUUUGUUUCAGCAGAAGCUUAAAAGAGUCUUUUGAUAUACAAAGGCAGGCCCAAUACAAGUGCAAAAUGAAAAGCCCAAUUUCUCUGCAUAAUAAAGUAAAGAGAAUUGAUGGUCACCUGAAAUAAGGUAAAAGUGGUAUUAAGAGGGUAACUGAAACAGGAGUGGAAGGGGCAGAAAUGACCACGGAACAUGUAAGUCCCAGAGGAACUGGAUAAUAGAACCAAUUUGAUUUAAAUUGCAAAAAAGCGAGGUGACCUUAGCUACCAUUUGGGUUAUGCAAUUCACCUCUCUUAACAGAACAUGCAGGCUGAGCACAACUUUCUCUCCACAGAAUAAACGUUGGGAACUGAGUCA
rnacentral:lncRNA from 1 species